rnacentral:tRNA from 1 species
GCCUCGGUGGUGGAAUUGGUAGACACGCAGGACUUAAAAUCCUGUGACCAUUGCGGUCGUGCGGGUUCAAGUCCCGCCCGAGGUA